UACGUAGGUGGCGAGCGUUGUCCGGAAUUACUGGGCGUAAAGGGUGCGUAGGCGGUGCUUCAAGUCAGAUGUGAAAACCCGGGGCUUAACUUCGGGACUGCAUUUGAAACUGGAGUGCUAGAGUGCAGGAGAGGAAAGCGGAAUUCCUAGUGUAGCGGUGAAAUGCGUAGAUAUUAGGAAGAACACCAGUGGCGAAGGCGGCUUUCUGGACUGUAACUGACGCUGAGGCACGAAAGCGUGGGGAGCAAAC
rnacentral:rRNA from 1 species